AUACGGAGGAUCCGAGCGUUAUCCGGAUUUAUUGGGUUUAAAGGGUGCGCAGGCGGCCAUUUAAGUCAGCGGUUAAAUCGUGGGGCUCAACCCCAUUCUGCCGUUGAUACUGGGUGGCUUGAUUGCGGUCGAGGUUGGCGGAAUUCGUGGUGUAGCGGUGAGAUGCUUAGAUAUAACGAAGAACUCCGAUUGCGAAGGCAGCCUGCUGGACUGUAACUGACGCUGAUGCUCGAAAGUGUGGGUAUCAAACAGGAUUAGAUACCCUGGUAGUCCACACAGUAAACGAUGAAUACUCGCUGUUUGCGAUAUACAGUAAGCGGCCAAGCGAAAGCGUUAAGUAUUCCACCUGGGGAGUACGCCGGCAACGGUGAAACUCAAAUGAAUUGACGGGG
rnacentral:rRNA from 1 species